rnacentral:rRNA from 1 species
UAGGGAAUUUUGCGCAAUGGGGGAAACCCUGACGCAGCAACGCCGCGUGAAUGACGAAGCCCUUCGGGGUGUAAAGUUCUGUCAGUGGGGACGAAUUAUGACGGUACCCACAAAGGAAGCACCGGCUAACUCCGUGCCAGCAGCCGCGGUAAUACGGAGGGUGCAAGCGUUGUCCGGAAUCAUUGGGCGUAAAGCGUUCGUAGGCGGCAUAUCAAGUCUGGUGUUAAAGCCCGGAGCUCAACUCCGGAUCGGCACUGGAUACUGGUAAGCUAGAAUGAGGUAGAGGUAAUGGGAAUUCCUGGUGUAGCGGUGAAAUGCGUAGAUAUCAGGAGGAACACCGGUGGCGUAAGCGCAUUACUGGGCCUUUAUUGACGCUGAGGAACGAAAGCCGGGGGAGCAAAUG